rnacentral:rRNA from 1 species
UACCGCAUAAGCCCACGGCUCGGCAUCGAGCAGGGGGAAAAGGAGCAAUCCGCUUUGAGAUGGCCUCGCGUCCGAUUAGCUAGUUGGUGAGGUAACGGCCCACCAAGGCGACGAUCGGUAGCCGGACUGAGAGGUUGAACGGCCACAUUGGGACUGAGACACGGCCCAGACUCCUACGGGAGGCAGCAGUGGGGAAUAUUGCACAAUGGGGGAAACCCUGAUGCAGCGACGCCGCGUGGAGGAAGAAGGUCUUCGGAUUGUAAACUCCUGUUGUUGAGGAAGAUAAUGACGGUACUCAACAAGGAAGUGACGGCUAACUACGUGCCAGCAGCCGCGGUAAAACGUAGGUCACAAGCGUUGUCCGGAAUUACUGGGUGUAAAGGGAGCGCAGGCGGGAGAACAAGUUGGAAGUGAAAUCCAUGGGCUCAACCCAUGAACUGCUUUCAAAACUGUUUUUCUUGAGUAGUGCAGAGGUAGGCGGAAUUCCCGGUGUAGCGGUGGAAUGCGUAGAUAUCGGGAGGAACACCAGUGGCGAAGGCGGCCUACUGGGCACCAACUGACGCUGAGGCUCGAAAGUGUGGGUAGCAAACAGGAUUAGAUACCCUGGUAGUCCACACCGUAAACGAUGAUUACUA